rnacentral:sRNA from 1 species
CGUCCUCCUCCUCCUCGAACUCGUCACCAUCGUCGUCGUCAUCCGCCACCGCCCCGCUCCGCGCCGCCGGAUCUGCGAGCCAUCGCCUCGCCGGCCUGCAUGCUGCGCCAGCCACCGCCCCGCAGCGGUGUUGUGAUUCGGUGAUUGGGAUGAGAGAAGGGCGGCGGCGGCUACGGCGGUGGCAAUGAGUGGCUCGGCGUAGACGUUGGGGAUGCGGUGCGGGAGCUACGGCUCGCUC